CCUACGGGUGGCAGCAGUAGGGAAUCUUCCACAAUGGGCGAAAGCCUGAUGGAGCAACGCCGCGUGGGUGAAGAAGGUCUUCGGAGCAUAAAACCCUGUUGUUAGAGAAGAAAACGCGUGAGAGUAACUGUUCACGUUUCGACGGUAUCUAACCAGAAAGCCACGGCUAACUACGUGCAGGCAGCCGCGGUAAUAAGGAGGAUGCGAGCGUUAUCCGAUUUUAUUGGGUUUAAAGGGUGCGUUGGCGGACGCUUAAGUCAGAGGUAAAAUUGCGGGGCUCAACCUCGUCGAGCCGUUGAAACUGGGUGCCUUGAGUGGGCUAGAAGUACGCGGAAUGCGUGGUGUAGCGGUGAAAUGCAUAGAUAUCACGCAGAACUCCGAUUGCGAAGGCAGCGUACCGGCGCCCAACUGACGCUGAAGCACGAAGGCGUGGGUAUCGAACAGGAUUAGAUACCCCAGUAGUC
rnacentral:rRNA from 1 species